CGGACGGGUGGAGUAAUGUCUGGGAAACUGCCUGAUGGAGGGGGGUAACUACUGGAAACGGUAGCUAUACCGCAUAACGUCGCAAGACCAAAGAGGGGGACCUUAGGGCCUCUUGCCAUCGGAUGUGCCCAGAUGGGAUUAGCUUGUUGGUGGGGUAACGGCUCACCAAGGCGACGAUCCCUAGCUGGUCUGAGAGGAUGACCAGCCACACUGGAACUGAGACACGGUCCAG
rnacentral:rRNA from 1 species